rnacentral:sRNA from 1 species
GAACCUCCGGGGGCAAGAGGUUCGACUCGAGCGCAGCGAGAGAACGUUGCUUCAGCAACGGCCCGCAGGGCGAGCCACGCAGUGGCGAGUCAUCCUCUAUCACCGACCA